rnacentral:rRNA from 1 species
UCUACCUACGGGGGGCAGCAGUGGGGAAUAUUGCACAAUGGGGGAAACCCUGAUGCAGCAACGCCGCGUGAGUGAAGAAGUAUUUCGGUAUGUAAAGCUCUAUCAGCAGGGAAGAAGAAAGACGGUACCUGACUAAGAAGCCCCGGCUAACUACGUGCCAGCAGCCGCGGUAAUACGUAUGGGGCAAGCGUUAUCCGGAUUUACUGGGUGUAAAGGGAGCGUAGGCGGCCUGGCAAGCCUGAUGUGAAAUACCGGGGCCCAACCCCGGGGCUGCAUUGGGAACUGCCAGGCUGGGGUGCCGGAGA